CAAAAGUAAAUAGAAGACGCAUAAUAACAUUCAGUGCAUUUGCUGCAAAAAAGAAUGUAGCAAUACGUGGCAGCCUGAGGAAAGUAGUCCGUAUUGAAGGUUAUGUUGAACAUAUCAUACCAUGGUUUUCCGGAAAGCAAUUU